rnacentral:rRNA from 1 species
UACGUAGGUGGCAAGCGUUGUCCGGAUUUAUUGGGUUUAAAGGGUGCGUAGGCGGCCCUGUAAGUCAGUGCUGAAAUAUCCCGGCUUAACCGGGAGGGUGGCAUUGAUACUGCAGGGCUUGAGUGAAGUCGAGGUAGGCGGAAUUGACGGUGUAGCGGUGAAAUGCUUAGAUAUGAUAUAGACCACCGAUUGCGAAGGCAGCUUACCAAGCCGUUACUGACACUGAUGCACGAAAGCGUGGGGAUCAAACAGG